CCUACGGGAGGCAGCAGUGGGGAAUAUUGCACAAUGGGGGAAACCCUGAUGCAGCGACGCCGCGUGAGUGAAGAAGUAAUUCGUUACGUAAAGCUCUAUCAGCAGGGAAGAAAAUGACGGUACCUGAGUAAGAAGCCCCGGCUAACUACGUGCCAGCAGCCGCGGUAAUACGUAGGGGGCAAGCGUUAUCCGGAUUUACUGGGUGUAAAGGGAGCGUAGGCGGUGCGCCAAGUCUGGAGUGAAAUGCCGGAGCUUAACUGCGGAACUGCUUUGGAAACGGGCGAACUAGAGUGCGGGGGGGGUAAGCGGAAUUCCUGGUGUAGCGGUGAAAUGCGUAGAUAUGAGGAGGAACACCGGUGGCGAAGGCGGCUUACUGGAGCGUAACUGACGUUGAGGCUCGAAAGCGUGGGGAGCGAACAGGAUUAGAUACCCCAGUAGUC
rnacentral:rRNA from 1 species